UUGGAGGGCAAGUCUGGUGCCAGCAGCCGCGGUAAUUCCAGCUCCAAUAGCGUAUAUUAAAGUUGUUGCAGUUAAAAAGCUCGUAGUUGAACUUCGGGGUCUACCCAUUGGUCAGGCUUAAUUGUCUGCACUGGUGAGAUGGAUCUCUACCUUCUGAGGAACUUUCAUGCCAUUUAUUUGGUGUGAUGGGAAAUCAGGACUGUUACUUUGAAAAAAUUAGAGUGUUUAAAGCAGACUAUCGUCUGAAUACAUUAGCAUGGAAUAAUGAAAUAGGACGGACUGAUUCUAUUUCGUUGGUUUCUAGGAUCACCGUAAUGAUUAAUAGGGAUAGUUGGGGGCAUUAGUAUUCAAUUGUCAGAGGUGAAAUUCUUGGAUUUAUUGAAGACUAACUACUGCGAAAGCAUUUGCCAAGGAUGUUUUCAUUAAUCAAGAACGAAAGUUAGGGGAUCGAAGACGAUCAGAUACCGUCGUAGUCUUAACCAUAAACUAUGCCGACUAGGGAUCGGACGAAGUUAAUUUUAUAAUGACGCGUUCGGCGCCUUACGAGAAAC
rnacentral:rRNA from 1 species